rnacentral:lncRNA from 1 species
UUGUGCCAUUCAGAGCCAGCUCCCUUUGCUAUUGAAGAACUUAUUUCCCUACAUGUCAAGACUUCUGCUGGCUGAUGGCCCCCAGCUGUGAGCUCUUUCAGGCAUCACCUUUGGCUGCAAAAGGCUCCCUCUCCUGAAGUUACUACCUGCAUCCCUGGAGGCAGACUUCAUCUCAUGUCUUCAUCCAAAGUUUGAACAAAUUGGCUAAGAAGGUGCUAGACAUGUAAAGGGACUAUUUUUUUUCUUAAUUCAAAUGUAGGAGGAGUAUGGAUCUCCAGGAACCAGAAGAGCUGCAUACAUAUGCCCAACAAUUCAGCGACAGCACCAUCAGCCCAGAUGGGGGUUGUGAGCAAAGUCCGAGAUGGUCAGAAGGAAAGGAGAACCUGGGAGGUGGCGAGUGUCCACUGCUCUAGUCUCAGGACAGCCUGCUCUGUUAAAGCACCUGGUCCUUCUUCCUGAAGACUUCAGUCCCACCUUGCAUUGUGUUUUGUUCUGUGUGUGUGCGUGUCUAUCUCUCCUGCUAACUGCUGAGCUUGCUAAGGAAAGGAACCUUGUUUUAUGAAAUAAAUGAUAUUUAUGAGC